AGCGAACGCUGGCGGCAGGCUUAACACAUGCAAGUCGAGCGGGCCCUUCGGGGUCAGCGGCGGACAGGUGAGUAACGCGUGGGAACGUGCCUUCUGGUCUGGAAUAACCCUGGGAAACUAGGGCUAAUACCGGAUACGCCCUUUUGGGGAAAGGUUUACUGCCGGAAGAUCGGCCCGCGUCUGAUUAGCUAGUUGGUGGGGUAACGGCCUACCAAGGCGACGAUCAGUAGCUGGGCUGAGAGGAUGAUCAGCCACACUGGGACUGAGACACGGCCCAGACUCCUACGGGAAGCAGCAGUGGGGAAUAUUGGACAAUGGGCGCAAGCCUGAUCCAGCCAUGCCGCGUGAGUGAUGAAGGCCUUAGGGUUGUAAAGCUCUUUUAUCCGGGACGAUAAUGACGGUACCGGAGGAAUAAGCCCCGGCUAACUUCGUG
rnacentral:rRNA from 1 species